AUGACACGAGAGACGACCGACUGGUUCGCUGAGGCCGGGCGGCAAGCGAGCGAGGGAAAGGAGAGACAGCGCCCCACUACUCCCGUCCACUCCAUAUGCCAUUACCACCCACCACCUCCCCCUCUACCACCGCCCACUAGAGCCGAGCCGAGUCUGCCUAGAGAGAGAAAAGAGUUGUUGCCUUGUUGGUGUUCAUUGCGUGCGCGCUGGCCUCCUCGCCUUCCCUCCCUCCCCCUGUUCUCAUCCAGCCUCAGUCACCAUGGGCCUUUUUGGGUUUUCGGCACCACCAUCUCACUCAUGGGUCAGAGCAGUCCCCUCCGCUCCCUCCCUUCCCUUCACACGGCGCGGGAAGAGAGAGAGAGAGAGAGGGCGGACGGAGCAGGCGCAAGAAACUUCCACCCACACCUCCCCUGCUUCCCCUUCCAACCUUUAUUAGUAUUAUCUCCUUCCUUCCCCCCUCCCUCCCUCGGUCCCGUCCCCUCUCGCUUUCUCCCCCGUCUCUCCACGAUCCGCCGGGCUUCUUCUUGUUCCCAACCGUGGUGA
rnacentral:rRNA from 1 species